GUAGCAUACUAAAUACUAAAUUAUGGCUUUCAAAGUAAUGGCUUUUCUUCUUAUCUUCAUGGUGAUGGGAAUCUGUGUUUCACCAAAGGCAGAAGCAAGGGACGUUAACUUUUGUUGUUGCACCAAAGACGAAGAUUGUAGAGUCCGUUGUGGUGUUCCUAAAUAUCAUUGCAAUAUUGGACUUUGCUUCUGUAAUUGGGCUUCACAUUCCCAAGAUGAAAUUGAUGAAGGCAUAAACUGAAGAAUUAUAAAUUUCAUGAGCCGAAAAUAGAAAGCAACAAUAAGAUUUGAAUUAUUUUAAUUAAAUAUAAACUUGUAGGGUUGCUUGUUCUAUGCAACUUAUAACAAGAAAUUAGCCAAAUAAUAAAGGUUGCUAAUUUUUUCUUUCCU